UAAGUCUACAAGUUCUCAUUUCUGCCU
rnacentral:piRNA from 1 species